CAGUCGCCGCGGUAAUACGUAGGUGGCAAGCGUUGUCCGGAAUUAUUGGGCGUAAAGGGCUCGCAGGCGGUUUCUUAAGUCUGAUGUGAAAGCCCCCGGCUCAACCGGGGAGGGUCAUUGGAAACUGGGAAACUUGGGUGCAGAAGAGGAGAGUGGAAUUCCACGUGUAGCGGUGAAAUGCGUAGAGAUGUGGAGGAACACCAGUGGCGAAGGCGACUCUCUGGUCUGUAACUGACGCUGAGGAGCGAAAGCGUGGGGAGCGAACAGGAUUAGAUACCCCUGUAGUCCCUGUCUCUUAUAC
rnacentral:rRNA from 1 species